rnacentral:rRNA from 1 species
UACGAAGGGGGCUAGCGUUGCUCGGAAUCACUGGGCGUAAAGGGUGCGUAGGCGGGUCUUUAAGUCAGGGGGGAAAUCCUGGAGCUCAACUCCAGAACUGCCUUUGAUACUGAAGAUCUUGAGUUCGGGAGAGGUGAGUGGAACUGCGAGUGUAGAGGUGAAAUUCGUAGAUAUUCGCAAGAACACCAGUGGCGAAGGCGGCUCACUGGCCCGAUACUGACGCUGAGGAGCGAAGGCGUGGGGAGCAAACAGG